UACAUGGGGUGCAAACGUUGCUCGGAAUCAUUAGGCGUAAAGCGCGCGUAGGCGGUUACUUAAGUUGGAUGUGAAAGCCCUCGGCUUAACUGAGGAAGUGCAUCCAAAACUGAGUAGCUAGAGUACGAAAGAGGGUCGCGGAAUUCCCGGUGUAGAGGUGAAAUUCGUAGAUAUCGGGAGGAACACCGGUGGCGAAGGCGGCGACCUGGGUCGAGACUGACGCUGAGGCGCGAAAGCGUGGGGAGCAAACAGG
rnacentral:rRNA from 1 species